rnacentral:SRP_RNA from 1 species
GCCAGGUGUGAUGUUACAUGCCUGUAGUUCCAGCUACUCAAGAGGCUGAAGCAGGUGGAUAGGCUGAGGCCAGGAGUUCCAGACUAUAGUGCACUAUACCCAUUGGGUGUCAGCACAAAGUUCAGCAUCAAUAUGGUGAUGUCACAGGAGUAGAGAAACACCAGGUUGCCUAAGGAGGAGUCAACUAGUCCAGGUUAGAUAUGAAGCAGGUCAAACUCCUAUGCUAAUAAGUGGUGAGAUGUGCUUAUUUAUAGCCACUGUACUCCAGCCUGGGCAGCAUAGUAAGACCCCACCUCU